GACUUUUUCUCUGAAAAUUUAUUUAAUAGGCGAGUCAAUCCUGUUUUAACUGUGAAGUAUAGUGAUAUGUUUUCAUUCCUGUAAUUGAAAUAAAAAAUUUGCAAUUAAGAAUUCCAUUUCUGCUUUAACCCAAGCUUGUUUGUUAGAGAUAUUUUUCAUUUCUAAGUUGAAGGGCCUUGUUAAAUGUUUGUUAUUGUGGGAGACCAGAAUAUACCACCCCAAAAUAUGACACUGGGAGACCAGAAUAUUCCACCCCAAAAUAAGUCUCUUUAGCAUAAUGAAUAUUUUGAGCUGAUUAUUUUGAGAAACUGCAGACAGGAAAUGCUCCAAAAACAGGGUAGAAGUUACCCUUCUGUAGAGGAAAUUUACAUGUACAAAGGAAACCUUCAUUUGUAAGAGUGUCUUCCUCUGUACACAGAAGAGGAGAAUCACUAGAGAGUCUUCUCAAUGGAGAAAGCAUGGACUUGAUCUGCAUAGCAUACCUUACCCUUGUUUACCAAACUUGUCCUGGGCACUUCCCCAUAAUGGCCUUCCCCACGCUGGUCUUUUUUCACCCAACAGACUUAAGUAUUAACCUGAAUUCACAGUGAUAUGAUUUGACUUUGUGUCCCCACCCAAAUCUCACCUAGAAUUGUAAUCUCAUAUGUUAUGGGAGAGACCUAGUGGGAGGUACUGAAUCAUGAGGGAAGUUUCUCCUCAUGCUGUUCUCGUGAUAGUGAGUGAGUUCUAAUUCAAUGAGGGGCUUCCCCCUUCGCUCAGCACUUCUCUGUCCUGCCACCAGGUGAAGAAGGAUAUGUUUGCUUCCCCUACCACCAUGAGUGUAAGUUUCCUGAGGCCUCCCCAGACAAGUGGAACUGUGAGUCAAUUAAAUUAUUGACUCACACUCUUUCCUUUAUAAAUUACCCAGUCUCAGGUAUGUCUUUAUUAGCAACAUGAGAACAGACUAAUACAACCACCACUUUGAGAUUUACCCAUUUUUCUGGGUAUUUCCUGUGAACCCAAAAAGUAUCUGAGACAGGUCUCAAUCAAUUUAGAAAGUUUGGUUUGCCAAGAUUAAGAACACACCCAUGACACAGCCUCAGCAGGUCCUGAUGACAUGUAUUGAAGGUGAUCAGGGCAGGGCUUGGUUUUACACAUUUUAGAGAGACAUGAGACAUCAGUCAAUAUGUGUAAGAUGUACAUUGGUUUGGUUCAGAAAGGCAAGGCAGCUCAGCUCAAAGCAGGGGCUUCUAGAUCAGAGGCAGAUAGGAGACAAACAGUCGCUUUCUUGUGAGUCUUUGAUCAACCUUUCACUGAAUACACAAUUUACAUGUGAGAGGAGUGUAGAAGAAUAGUCACUUAUGUCUUAGUCUGCCUCAAUGAAUCUGCAUUUCUUCAUAAACAAUAGGGUUGAGGAAGCAAUCAGAUAUGCAUUUGUCUCAGGUGAGCAGCGGGAUGAUUUUGAGUUCUGUCCUUUGUCCUACACCUGUGAAGAUAAGCUGUCAAUUAUGCUGCCAAAGUGAAAUUUAGCAAAAGUGUUUAGGGGAAUUACUUUGUGGGUAAAUUAUGAAGGAGGUAUGUAGCUUAUCUUUGUAGCUAUCUUAUUUUGGAAUAGAAUAGGAGCCAGGUUUGUCUGAUAAAAUUCCAAGCUUGACUUUUCCCUUUGGUUUAGCAAUUUGGGAGUCCCAAGAUUUGUUUUUCUUUCAUAGUCUCAUGUUUACAUGAGGUAUAUAUGCUAAUUAAUUUGUUUGUUUCCUCUUAAUCUCUCUUUUAUUAUAGGGGUCCGUUCCAAGUAGGAACUGUUAAAGGUAGAGAGAAAAUUAUCUUUUCCUCCUCUGCAGUAUUAAUUUCUUAUUGGAUUGUGUUGUGAUCAGAGAAGGUUGUUUAUAUUGUAUCUAUUUCAUAGAUUACUGAUGUCCCUUUAUAACACAGUAUGGAUGAUCUUCAUGAAUGUUCUGUGUGCUCCUGAAGAGAAGGUGUGUCUCUUGUGUGCAUCAUAGAAUUGGGUUUAUGAGGCACUCUUGAAAACGUUCUUUUAAUAGGUCCUGAGAAACACAUCUCAUCCCUCCUCCAGUGGUGGAAGAAAGAGAAGAGUGCAGGUGACAGUGACAGGGGAGACUGCUGCUACACCAUCACCAGAAACAAGACGUCACAAACUGAUCUCCUGGUCCCAAUCUCUUAGACUCCAGUGAUUCUCUGACCUUGGCCUCCUAAAGUGCUGGGAUUACAGGCGUGAGCCACCAACCUGGCAGGAUGUUUAAUUUCUGUAUGUCCACGGGCAAGCAUCUGCCUUCUCCUUACUAGGAAAAGGCCAGUGCUGGAGAGUGAAUACUUGAUAACUCAUAUCCCCCCGUCCCCAUCCCAUGCCGUCCCAUCUCUCUCAGCUCCUCACCAAGUGGCUUCCAAGGAUGGAGGAUGAAGAUGAGAAGGCUGCAUCUCUGGCUUCUGCUUUGCUGAGUGGGCUAUGGCAGUCAGAGAGCUCUGUGCAUGCUGCCAAAAUGAAAAUGAACAAUGUCAUUGCUGUGAUGUCCAGUUGAGCUGUGACCUGGAUUCUGGUCUCAGAUUCACAGAAGCAACUGAAAGCUGAGAACGAGGGGCUGCCGGUGGCUAGGCUCAGGAACGUUAGCAAUAGCCCUCAGACCAUGAGACUCAGAGAAAGUAAUCAGAGGGCUGAGCCUGGCUCUCUGUCUAGACUUCUGAUGGUGCCUCACGAGACUGAGUCCUGGAGGCAGGAACUGCUGGCUGAUCACUGCACAGGACAUGAGGGAGGACAGUGCAAAGACAUCGAAUCAACCUAGAUGCCCAUCAAAGCUGGACUUGAUAAAGAAAACGUGGUACAUAUACACCAUGGAAUACUACAUAUCCUUAAAAAAAGAAUGAGAUCACAUUCUUUGCAGCAACAUAGAUGGAACUGGAGGCCAUUAUCCUAAGUGAACUAACACGGGAACAGAAACCAUAUGCCACAUGUUCUCACUUAUAAGUUGGAGCUAAACAGUGAGUACACACGAACACAAAGAUAGGAAUAACAGAUACCAAGGCCUGCUUGAGGGUGGAGGAUGGGAGGAGGGUGAGGAGCAUAAGCCUACUGAUUAGGUACUAGGCUUAUUACCUAGUUGUUGAAAUAAUAUGUACACCAAACCCCUGCGACACAAAAUUUACCCAUGUAACAAACCUGCACAUGUACCCCUUGAACCUAAAAGAACAGUUGGAAAUAAUAAAUAAAUGGAGUUUGUGUACUUAAAAUAAUAAUAGAAACUAGAUCUCUCUGACAUUCAUUCUCUCUCUACUACCUUUACCAAUGGCCACCCCUUCAUUGAAGCAUUUCUCACAUGGGCUUUUUGUUUUCCCUUGCUCCCCACAAUACCUCCUCCCCUCCAAAGCCACUGGAGGCCUGAACACUUUAAUCACUCCCCAACCUCUGUAUCCGCUGUCUUCCAUUGCACCUACCCUGUUGCAGACCUGCUAAUGCCUGGACUUCUUCCAUUCCCAUAAUCCAGCACUUAGAUUUGGCUCACAGUCCUCCCCACACCCCCAAUUUCCUUAUUCAUCUUCCAGGCUUGUACACCUAUUUUUGACCCAGCCUACCUGACCCAGGCCCUGUCUCUGACUCUGCCCUGGCCUGCAGUCUGCCCUACGGACUUCAGCACUCAUGACGGUUCUUUCGCCAGGGCCUGGAUGGGCCCCAGCUAGUGCCCUAGUCUCCGAACCCUGGAGGAAACCUUUCUAAAUGGCUAUACAGGCAACAUUCUCAUCAACAUCAUUACUGUUUCCAUGCUCUGCAGUUAGAGGCAGUUUAAAGUGCUCUCCCAAAAUGUCAGUAACCUUCAUCAGAGCUGCUCACUCAGACUUUUGUCUUCUCCUGGGACUCAGAGCUUGCAUUUUCCUUCCUUCUGGCUUUUGAUAGGCACUAGAAAUGUUUUGGCCAGAGGUGGAAGUGGGAAUGGACCGGCCCUUCCCUUCCUUUUACCCCGUUUCAGGGUGCAGAGCAUUUCUGGAACCUGCAGCUGGGCCUGUGUCCUGAAGGUGGACACAUCAUCAGCCAGUCUUAGAAGGAAAAGAGGCAGUGGAGGUGUCUGAUUGCACAGGCCAGGGUGUGUUUCAGUGCCUUGUGGUUGACUUUCAAAUGGUCUGCCCACUCCCCACUUAGAGUUUUUAGAAUUUAUUUUUAAACUUUAAAAAUUGUAUUGUCACUGGGUCUCACUCUUUUGCCCAAGCUGAAGAACUGGGAGCCUUGACCUCCCCAGGCUCAAGUGAUCCUCCCACCUCAACCUCCCGAGUAGCUGGGACUACAGAUGCCCACCACCACCCCAAGCUGAUUUUUGGGUUUUUUGUAGAGAUGAAGUUUCAUCAUGUUGCCUGGGCUGGUCUGGACUCAAGGGAUCUGACUGCGUGAGCUCUCAAAGUGCUGGCAUUAGAAGCAUGAACCACCACACCCAAACCCCAGUUUUUAGAAUUCUUGAAUUCUACCCCUGGGGGUCUCUUCUCUACAAGUCCUGGAUGAACAACAAAGCGGUAGCUUACGGUCCCUGGGGGCACCCAGAAUCUCUGUGCUGCUUCUCAAAACACCAACAACUUUGGAUGGAGUGAUGCAGUCUGCUUUUUAGGAUUCCUGGUAGCUGAAAACUCGUAGAGUUUGGAGUCAUUUGCUGGUGAUUUUUAACAGUGGGAUGCUUUAUUAUUAGCAUUCCACUUCUAACAAUUAGCUCUAUUAUUAUUUGCUACCCAGAGUAGAGUGUUUGGAGUGAGUGUAAGCAGAGGGUACGCUGGUGUCUUAAACUUCCUCAGCUCCAGCCAAUGUUCAGAGGGCAUGGGCAGCCAGGAUGCAUCUCGUGGGGCUGCACUGGGGAUUACGGAUGGCACCUGUCUGAUUGUUUAUGUCAUCAUGUACAGGUGGUUUCAUAUUUUGAAUAUCACCUCUGCUACAAUCCAAAUGGCAUGGUUUGGAAGAACUCUCAGUUAUCCCCAAUUCUUCCCUCUCACCUCUAAGAAGCAUGCAGCAAUUUGUUGCCAUUCUUCUAUUCUUUUAUCUUACGAUUUUCUUUCCUCUAAGAUUCAAAUUCCUUGUUGAUUGAGGAGAUGAGGAGACAUAUAAGCCUUACAAAUAAUUUGUAGCGUCUAUAGAUUGCACAAAUGAAGGCCCAAAGCUGAAGUGAUGGUUUCUGGGGACAGGACUUUUCCAUGCAAGCUCAACUAUCUAUUUCUUCUUCAUGUCAACAUGUGCCUUUGAGAAGUGUAAGGUCAACUCUCAGACCCAGCUAAUGUUUAUGUGCACAAUGGCAAGCAGUGGAAAAUUCAGUGGGAGAUAAAUAGGUGCCAUGGAGAAGUGUGAAUUCCAGACACCUCCUGCUCAGCUGACUCCUGGGUCAGGGAAUGUGAGUUUCACUAUGCAACUGAAACCUGGAGACUCUAAAAUGGCAUCAGCCAGAAGACUUGCAUUUCAAGAGGCGGGUGGUGGUCAAUCCAGUCAACUGCUGCUUCAUGGUCAGGAAGGACAAAGAUGCAAAAUGUUCUGAUUUAUCGUCAGGCCUUUCUCCUGCACAACUGUCUUUUUCAUUAAAUUUGGGCAAUGUGGUUUUCAGGUUUUCUUUAAAUGCAGCUUUAUUAAAACUUACUCAUUUUAAUUUUUUUUUUCUUUUUAUUUUUCUGAGACAGGGUCUCACUCUGUUGCCCAGGCUGGAGUGCAAGGGCACGCUGUCAGCCUUGACUUCCCGGGCUCCAGCAAUCCUCGCACUUCACUCUCCAAAGUGGCUGGGACCACGGACGCGCACCACCACACCUGCCUAAUUUUUUGUAUUUUUAGUAGAGACAAGGUUUUAGUAUAUUUCCCAGACUGGUCUCGAACUCCUGGCCUCAAGAGAUCCUCCCACCUCAGUCUCCUGAAGUGUUGGGAUUACAGGCAUGAGCCACCACACCUGGCCAAAUUUACCCUUUUGGUGUGAAGGAGUUUCAAAAAACAUGCGCAGUCAGGAAAUACUACAAUUUACAAACCUAUGUGUCAGGUUCUAUAAACAUUUCUUUGAUGGAAAUCAAAGUAGCACAUUUCUGUCACCCACAAAAUGUCCUUUUGGGUCCCUGACAAUACUGAUCUGGUUUUUUUUCCCUGUAGUUUUGCCUUUUCCAGAAUGCCACGGAAGUAGAAUCAUACGGCUUACAGUCCUUUGAGUCUGGCUUCCUUCGCGUCACAUAAUGCCUUUGAGAUUCAUUUACGUUAAGUUGCUGCACCUGUAACUGCUUCACUCCUUUCUAGAGCUACGUGGUAUUCCAGUCUAUAGAAGUUCCUCAAUUUGUUUAGCCAUUCACAGAUUAAGGGAUUGUUGGUUGUUUUCUGUUCUGAGCUAUUGCAAAUAGAGAUGCUAUAAAUGUAAGCUUUACAGCCGAGUUAAAUGAGGAAAUGGAGACCGGAGUAAAAAAGUAAAAGCCAAUUUAUUCAGCUCCUGGGCGAGGUUCUAUGGUCCAGGAAAUGGGCCAGAGAAGUCGCACUUCUCUUCUUAGGGCAUGGGGUUGUAUAGAGCUUGGAGGUAGUUGAUUGGCUGCGGGGGAAGCAAAGUGAAGGUAGUCUCAUUGGUUAUGAAGGGACUGGGCACGGACGAGGCGAGCUGCCAUUGGCAGCCAGGCGGGGCUGCUGGCAAGUGGGCUGGCUGAGGACGUACAGGGCAAGCUGCCAUAGGGCAGGUCUUGGUGGAAUUUUUUAAAUUUCGCAGGCCGAGUGUCUAGUUUGCUGAUGAGUGCAGGACUGAGAUUAGAAUGCGGAAAUGGGUGUAGGGAGCCCGCGAGGAGAGGCCAGAUGCUGAGUAAUGUGCUCCAAAAGAUGACAUAGUUUUCAGUUCUCAAGGGGAAUGCUUUUGGAUUUUGCCCACUCAGUGAUGUUGGCUGUGGAUCUGUCAUAGAUGGUUAUUAUUUUAAGGUAUGUACCUUCUAUGUGCCUAGUUUGCUGAGUGUUUUUAACAUGAAGAGAUGUUGAAUUUUAUUGAUAGCCUUUUUUCUGCAUCUAUUGAGAUGAUCAUGUGGUUUUUGUUUUGAGUUCUGUUUAUGUAAUGAAUCACAGUUUUUGGUUUGUGUAUGUUAAACCAACUUUUUGUCCUAAGAAUAAAGCCUACUUGAUUGUGAUGGAUUUGUUUUUUGAGAUGCUGCUAGAUUCCAUUUGCCAGUAUCUUGUUGAGGAUUUUUGUGUCUAUUUUCAUCAAGGAUAUUGACCUGAAGUUUUCUUUUUAAGUGUUUUAGAUACUUUCUGUGGGUGGAAUCAUGCAGUGUUUUCUGUGACUGGUUUCUUUCACUUUGCAUCAUAUGCUCAGGUUCACUUGUGUUGUCACAAAUGGCAGGGUUUCUUUCUUUUCAGAAAGCUGGAUAAUAUUUUGGGGUGUGUGUGUGUAUGUAAUGGGUGUGUGUAUACAUGUAAUAUAUGUGUGUAUAUACAUAUAUAUAGAUCACAUUUUCUUUAUGCAUUCAUCUGUUGAUGGACAUUGAGGUUGUUUCUAUAUCUUGGACAUUGUGAAUAAUGCUACAUUGAACAUGGGGGUGCAGAUACUUUUUGGAAUCCUGAUUUCUAUUCUUCUGGAGAUAUACACUCACAAAUGGGAUUUCUGGAACAUAUGGCAGUUCUAAUUUUAAUGUUUUGGAAACCUAAAU